rnacentral:rRNA from 1 species
GUCGAACGGUGCUUUCGGGCACAGUGGCGGACGGGUGAGUAACGCGUGAGAAUCUGGCUCUAGGUCUGGGACAACCACUGGAAACGGUGGCUAAUACCGGAUGUGCCGAGAGGUGAAAGGUUAACUGCCUAGAGAUGAGCUCGCGUCUGAUUAGCUAGUUGGAAGUGUAAUGGACUCCCAAGGCGACGAUCAGUAGCUGGUCUGAGAGGACGAUCAGCCACACUGGGACUGAGACACGGCCCAGACUCCUACGGGAGGCAGCAGUGGGGAAUUUUCCGCAAUGGGCGAAAGCCUGACGGAGCAAUACCGCGUGAGGGAGGAAGGCUCUUGGGUCGUAAACCUCUUUUCUCAGGGAAGAACAAAAUGACGGUACCUGAGGAAUAAGCAUCGGCUAACUCCGUGCCAGCAGCCGCGGUAAUACGGAGGAUGCAAGCGUUAUCCGGAAUGAUUGGGCGUAAAGCGUCCGCAGGUGGCUAUGUAAGUCUGCUGUUAAAGAGUCUAGCUCAACUAGAUAAGAGCAGUGGAAACUACAAGGCUAGAGUACGUUCGGGGCAGAGGGAAUUCCUGGUGUAGCGGUGAAAUGCGUAGAGAUCAGGAAGAACACCGGUGGCGAAGGCGCUCUGCUAGGCCGUAACUGACACUGAGGGACGAAAGCUAGGGGAGCGAAUGGGAUUAGAUACCCCAGUAGUCCUAGCCGUAAACGAUGGAUACUAGGCGUG